UACGUAGGGGGCAAGCGUUGUCCGGAAUCAUUGGGCGUAAAGAGCGUGUAGGCGGCCCGAUAAGUCCGCUGUGAAAGUCCAGGGCUCAACCCUGGAAUGCCGGUGGAUACUGUCGGGCUCGAAUCCGGAAGAGGUGAGUGGAAUUCCUGGUGUAGCGGUGAAUGCGCAGAUAUCAGGAGGAACACCCAGUGGCGAAGGCA
rnacentral:rRNA from 1 species